rnacentral:lncRNA from 1 species
GUGGGGAGAUAUCCAAUGGUUUUGGGCGUGAUCAAGCAUGAUCGGGUGGGUAGGAGGAUGAUUGGACGGCGAGGGAACCGUACAGGAGCCGAUCGGAUGGUCUAGGAUGUUUGUAGAGUUCGAUCAAGACUGUAAUUUCAAUCUGGAGUGGGUUUAGCUCUAUAAUGGAGGCUUAAAAAAUAAAAACCAAAAUUCUGCAAACUUUGCAUGCUAUAAUCCUAAUUCUCCUUGCCACCAUAUCUUGGGCCUGCUGGCGAGAACGAAAUGUAAGAAUGUUCAUCAACAA